AGCUCUCCGAGUGGUGGGGACGUUUAUUGGGCUUAAAGCAUUCGUAGCCGGCUGGGCAAGUCCUCCGUUAAAUCCAACGAUCCAAUCGUUGGGCUGCGGGGGAUACUGUCCGGCUAGGAGGCGGGAGAGGCCGACGGUAUUUCCGGGGUAGGAGUGAAAUCCUAUAAUCCCGGGAGGACCAUCAGUGGCGAAGGCUGUCGGCUGGAACGCGCUCGACGGUGAGGGAUGAAAGCUGGGGGAGCGAACCGGAUUAGAUACCCGAGUAGUCC
rnacentral:rRNA from 1 species